rnacentral:rRNA from 1 species
UACGGAGGGUGCAAACGUUGCUCGGAAUCAUUGGGCGUAAAGCGCACGUAGGCGGCGCGUUAAGUCGGAUGUGAAAGCCCCGGGCUCAACCCGGGAAGUGCAUACGAAACUGGCGCGCUUGAAUAUGGAAGAGGGUCGCGGAAUUCCCGGUGUAGAGGUGAAAUUCGUAGAUAUCGGGAGGAACGCCAGUGGCGAAGGCGGCGACCUGGGCCAAUAUUGACGCUGAGGUGCGAAAGCGUGGGGAGCAAACAGG